UACGUAGGGAGCGAGCGUUGUCCGGAAUUACUGGGUGUAAAGGGAGCGCAGGCGGGACUGCAAGUCAGAUGUGAAAGGAGGGGGCUUAACCCCCUAACUGCAUUUGAAACUGUGGUUCUUGAGUGAAGUAGAGGUAAGCGGAAUUCCUAGUGUAGCGAUGAAAUGCGUAGAUAUUAGGAGGAACAUCAGUGGCGAAGGCGGCUUACUGGGCUUUAACUGACGCUGAGGCUCGAAAGCGUGGGGAGCAAAC
rnacentral:rRNA from 1 species